rnacentral:lncRNA from 1 species
UGGAUCAUCACACACCGGAACAUCCAACGCCAUGGGUGAUGACCCUAAACACGAUACAGAGUCUUUCCAUACGUCGGAACAUCCAACGCCGCAUAUCGAAAGUGUCUCACACGCCGGAACAUCCAACGCCGUGAGUGAGACGGAUGACCUAUUUUUCCCACACGCUGGAACAUCCAACGCCGCGUGUGGAAAGUCUAAUAACUGGGGAAGGCACUUACAUAGUGUAAUCAUACAACUU